GGGGGCUGAAAUUGGCACCGUGUGACUUAAACACAGAAGAUCACAGAAGAAACAGCUUUAUUAUUUAAAGGUCUUAUUUUUUUACUGCUGUUGCAGAGAUCUGCACACGCGGGCGAGAUGUUGUUGUUGUUGUUGUUGUUGUUGUUGCUGGAGGGCCGUCACAGCCAGCAACAGAUCACGGGUCUGUUCUUUGGAAGUUCACUCGCUGCCGUGAAAUCCAUUCGAAGUAAUCGCUUUUUUUUCCCCCUUCAGAUCUUUAAUGUUGCAUUUUUAAUGCGUUCUUCACUUCUGACAUGAGACGGACAUCCAGGAUCUUUGUUCAGCUCUUCCCGGGUUACAACUCCACUUUUAUCGUCCGGCUGAUGCAUGUGUGCAUCCAAUCCGUAAUUGGUCCAUGCUGGCAGAGGCACCUGUAAGAGAUCCAUCUCCUCCGCAGCCGGACGGGCCAAGCGCCUCAGCAUCUCCCAGAUGGACCUCACAGCGAGCGGGCUGCCCGUGCAAACCUCCCCCCCCCCGCCUCUCACCAGCGGAUGGUGCCUCACAGGCGGAACGUCGUUCCACAUUAAUCCCAAUAAAGGGGCCUUACCCAGCGACGACCAGGCAGGGACGUUUCUCCGCUGUUUGGUUUGUGGACGGAGGAAUCAGCCUCUCGUGCCAACAAUGCCUUCUUCUUCUCCUUAUAGAGCGGAGGGUUGGACAUUUAGUGUCUGCCUGGAGAGGAAAAUGACAGUUUAACUACAGAAAAACUGGAUUUAAAACGUUGUAAUAUUUUUGAGAUCAACUUGGCAGCUUUCUUUAUCAUCAGCGUUUGUCAUCAGUUACUUGCUGCGGUUCCCUCUCAUUCACUCCAGACAUCUCCUAAUCUUGUGAGAUAGUAAUCUUUACUCCUAACGCACUCCAAAAGAUUAAUUGAGUAAUGAAUUAUGUGAUUUCUGAUCAGGAUCUGAAUGGAACACAAACAAAAAAACGGCACGUCCGGUUGCAUCAUUUUGAAUAUAAAUUUUCUGAGAAAUGGUCCCAGAAAUAACGGGUGUUUGAGAAAUGUCUCAAUGACUAAAUGGACUAUUUGGACAUACGGUUGGAGGGAGCAAGGAGCCGAGAGGACAUACGGUUGGAGGGAACAAGGAGCCGAGAGGACAUAACGGUGGAGGCAACAAGGGGCCGAGAGGACAUACGGGUGGAGGGAACAAGGGGCCGAGAGGACAUACGGGUGGAGGGAACAAGGGGCCCGAGAGGACAUAAGGGUGGAGGGAACAAGGGGCC
ensembl:lncRNA